UGGAUACCGUGGGAAUCUAGAGCUAAUACAUGUAGGGCUCGGUGGCGGAAACGUCGCCGAUUGCAUUUAUUAGAACAAUCCAACCGUGUGACUUGUCGCAUGUGGUGAGUCUAGAUAACUUUGCAGAUCGUAUUGCCUUGAGCUGACGACAUUUCGAUUGAAUUUCUGCCCCUAUCAACUUUGUUGGCAGUGUAGUGGACUGCCAAGGUUUUGACGGGUAACGGGGGAUCAGGGUUCGAUUCCGGAGAGGGAGCCUGAGAAACGGCUACCACAUCCAAGGGAGGCAGCAGGCGCGAAAAUUACCCAAUCCAGACAAUGGGAGGUGGUGACGAAAAGUACCGGGUGGCGGGAUUUUCCUGCCGGCCUGGAAUGAAAACAAUUUAAGCAAUUGAAUUGAGUAACGACUGGAGGGCAAGUCUGGUGCCAGCAGCCGCGGUAAUUCCAGCUCCAGUGGCGUACCUCAACGUUGCUGCGCUUAAAACGCUCGUAGUUGGAUCACUCACUACGUAGUGGUGUGUCCGUUUUGGUGGUGUACUACUCGUCGCAUCGCUCGUCGAGUUUCUCGUCGUUGUCGAUGGACGAAGCAUUACCAUCGGACAGUUAGCUGCUACGUAGUAAUUGCGCGUGGGGACGGUUGUUAACCUUUGUUGCGUUGAUGGCUGUGUCUCACGGGGUGUGCCUUGAGUAAAUCARAGUGCUUAAAGCAGGCGUUAUGCUUGAAUGUUGAUAGCAUGGAACGAACAAUCGUGUAUGGUGUGUACUGACAACGGUGUUGAGAUUUAUCUCGCACUGCAGUAUACGACACCGACCGCCAAUUACGGAUGUUGGUUCCGUAUUGGGGUACUGAUUAAGAGGAGCGGUUGGGGGCAUUGGUAUUUGGCAGCGAGAGGUGAAAUUCUUGGACCUGCCAAGGACUAACAAAUGCGAAGGCAUCUGUCCAGACCGUAUCCAUUAAUCAAGAACGAAAGAGAGAGGUUCGAAGACGAUCAGAUACCGUCCUAGUUCUCUCUGUAAACGAUGCCGACCCGGGAUCAGUCUAGGGCAAACCUAC
rnacentral:rRNA from 1 species